rnacentral:rRNA from 1 species
UACGGAGGGGGCUAGCGUUGUUCGGAAUUACUGGGCGUAAAGCGCACGUAGGCGGCUUUGUAAGUUAGAGGUGAAAGCCCAGGGCUUAACCCUGGAAUUGCCUUUAAGACUGCAUCGCUAGAAUUGUGGAGAGGUAAGUGGAAUUCCGAGUGUAGAGGUGAAAUUCGUAGAUAUUCGGAAGAACACCAGUGGCGAAGGCGGCCCACUGGGCCGGACCUGACGCUGAGGCACGAAGGCGUGGGGAGCGAACGGG